GAGACACCCCUAUGGAGCAGGACUUGCUUCAGUGGGGCUUUGUUGCUCACUGAGUCUUCCCCUUUAGUGUGUUGCU
rnacentral:pre_miRNA from 1 species